rnacentral:rRNA from 1 species
UAAGACUGGGAUAACUUCGGGAAACCGGAGCUAAUACCGGAUAAUAUUUUGAACCGCAUGGUUCAAAAGUGAAAGACGGUCUUGCUGUCACUUAUAGAUGGAUCCGCGCUGCAUUAGCUAGUUGGUAAGGUAACGGCUUACCAAGGCAACGAUGCAUAGCCGACCUGAGAGGGUGAUCGGCCACACUGGAACUGAGACACGGUCCAG